CGUGGAUCAGUGGAUACACUUGUCUCCCCUUUAAAGGAGAUAGAGAGACGAUCCGAGUCAUCCCUAAAUAUGGGCAGGAUAUCAGUCUUGGACUGUCUAACCUGCCGGAGCAGCACUGAAUGACCACCACACAUGAGCAUGUUCCUGCAACAUUCAGCAGCUUUGCUUUUGGGUCAAAGGUCAACCAGCUGGAGAGGAAACUACACCAGUGUACUGG